GAGGCAGCAGUGGGGAAUAUUGCACAAUGGGCGCAAGCCUGAUGCAGCCAUGCCGCGUGUGUGAAGAAGGCCUUCGGGUUGUAAAGCACUUUCAGCGGGGAGGAAGGCGGUGAGGUUAAUAACCUCAUCGAUUGACGUUACCCGCAGAAGAAGCACCGGCUAACUCCGUGCCAGCAGCCGCGGUAAUACGGAGGGUGCAAGCGUUAAUCGGAAUUACUGGGCGUAAAGCGCACGCAGGCGGUCUGUCAAGUCGGA
rnacentral:rRNA from 2 species